GCAUUGGAUUUGAACCUCGGACCAUUUCACUCAAAUGCAGCAGUCCUUUACAACACAUCGCAGGCCUACCUGGCACUGGUUACCUUUAUUUGACCUGUUGUUUGCCUUGUAGGCGACAUUUUAUAAGGUAUGCAAGAUUUGGAUGUCCCUAUGAAUCUUUCUUUUACUUAAAAUUUCUGAGUGACUCACUUAAUUUUUGUAAAACUCAUUGUUUUAGCUCCCUGUAUACUACUAGUUUACAUAACCUACAAUCUUGCUUUCACUCAGCGCACGGUAGCCAUAGGAAUCUUCUUAAUUGUAGGCCUAUUUCAGGCUGUAGGUUUUACAUGCAGCACUUGAAAGCAGCAUAUCCAUCCUCAUUGGCCAGCCUGUGGUCUGUCAUAGCUAUGCAAGGCGGGAAAGCCUUUGGUACAAAUGUUGGGGCAGUCCCACUUCCCCUUCUCCCUCUUUUUCCGCAACAGGAGUAGGAGCAGUGUUUGGUUGAAUCACAAUGCACUCAUUCAGGGAGAGUGACUUGUAGGAAUUUGUUAGGAAAAGGAGGAAGAAGAAACGUGGCCGGGGCGGAUCGGCUUUCCAUUGAGGAGGCCGUUAACUUUGUGACAAGUUAGGGCCAACUGAGGGGGAUAGGCGGUGCAGAGAAACAGCUUCUGAAUUUCUCACAAGCUGUUGCUGCAUUCACUUGUGGUGACUAAUUAAAAGACUCAUUGACAACACAUUAUCAGUUCUUCCAGUAGUAUGUGUCUGACUCGUCCCACUCAGGCCUUGUCGGUGUGACUGAGCUGAGGUCAUCUUUUUCACACAUUGGUGCUGUCUGGUGGAUCUGACUUGAGACACUGUGCAGACCCAGGUCCAUGAACAGACACUCUGGUAUUUCCCACAUCUGUGUCGCGGCUGAUUAGCACUGCUUCCUCCUUAUCUCUGAAUUUAAAAAACCUGUCAAACGGUCAACGAAAGACUCAGCAGCCUCUCAGACUGUAUGCAGGGUAACUUUGUUUGUGUAAAUCCAGAUCAGGAGGUGCGCAGGAGGAUGUUUUCAAAGAGUCUUCAUCCUUCUCUGUGUGUGUUUUGCAGAGGACAUGAGUUCAUUAUCCGUUCACCUCUGCUUGCUUGCUGUGGUUGCAGGUUUGUUGCCAGUUCAGCUGUGAAGCACAAUCAGACUCAAACCUGCUGAGAAGAGAGGAGGAGAGAGGAAGGGAGGAGGAGAGGAGGUCAAAUACACCACAGAGCCAGACAAAGAGGGGG